rnacentral:rRNA from 1 species
UACGUAGGGGGCAAGCGUUGUCCGGAUUUAUUGGGCGUAAAGAGCGUGUAGGCGGCUUGACAGGUCUGCUGUGAAAACUCGAGGCUCAACCUCGAGAUGUCGGCGGAAACCGUCUGGCUAGAGUCCGGAAGAGGAGAGUGGAAUUCCUGGUGUAGCGGUGAAAUGCGCAGAUAUCAGGAAGAACACCGAUGGCGAAGGCAGUGUUCUGGGCCAGUACUGACGCUGAGGAGCGAAAGCGUGGGGAGCAAACAGG